GUGGGGAAUAUUGGGCAAUGGGCGAAAGCCUGACCCAGCAACGCCGCGUGAAGGAAGAAGGCUUUCGGGUUGUAAACUUCUUUUGUCAGGGACGAAAAAAAUGACGGUACCUGACGAAUAAGCCACGGCUAACUACGUGCCAGCAGCCGCGGUAAUACGUAGGUGGCAAGCGUUAUCCGGAUUUACUGGGUGUAAAGGGCGUGUAGGCGGGAAAGCAAGUCAGAUGUGAAAACUAUGGGCUCAACCCAUAGCCUGCAUUUGAAACUGUUUUUCUUGAGUACUGGAGAGGCAGAUGGAAUUCCUAGUGUAGCGGUGAAAUGCGUAGAUAUUAGGAGGAACACCAGUGGCGAAGGCGAUCUGCUGGACAGCAACUGACGCUGAGGCGCGAAAGCGUGGGGAGCAAACAGGAUUAGAAACCCGGGUAGUCC
rnacentral:rRNA from 1 species